CAUGUGGUUUAAUUUGAUGCAAAGUGAAGAACCUUAUCAGGACUUGACAUGCCAUGAAUCCUCUUGAAAAAGAGGGGUGCCUUCGGGAAUGUGGACACAGGGGGUGCAAAGCUGUCAUCAGCUUGUGUCGUAAGGUGUUGGAUUAAGUCCCGCAACAAGCACAACCCUUGUGUUUAGUUGCCACCGUUGAGUUUGGAACCCUGAGUAGAUUGCCGGUGAUAAGUCGGAGGAGGGUGAGGAUGACAUCAAGUCAUCAUUGUUAGAAUUUGUAAAAUAAAUCUG
rfam:Gossypium hirsutum cultivar TM-1 chromosome 24, whole genome shotgun sequence